rnacentral:rRNA from 1 species
UAACGAUAAUGCGGGUGAAAAACCCGCACGCCGGAAGACCAAGGGUUCCUGUCCAACGUUAAUCGGGGCAGGGUGAGUCGACCCCUAAGGCGAGGCCGAAAGGCGUAGUCGAUGGGAAACAGGUUAAUAUUCCUGUACUUGGUGUUACUGCGAAGGGGGGACGGAGAAGGCUAUGUUAGCCGGGCGACGGUUGUCCCGGUUUAAGCAUGUAGGCGGAGGUUCCAGGUAAAUCCGGUACCUUUUUAACGCUGAGGUGUGAUGACGAGGCACUACGGUGCUGAAGUAACAAAUGCCCUGCUUCCAGGAAAAGCCUCUAAGCAUCAGGUAACACGAAAUCGUACCCCAAACCGACACAGGUGGUCAGGUAGAGAAUACCAAGGCGCUUGAGAGAACUCGGGUGAAGGAACUAGGCAAAAUGGUGCCGUAACUUCGGGAGAAGG